rnacentral:rRNA from 1 species
UACAGAGGGUGCGAGCGUUGUUCGGAAUUAUUGGGCGUAAAGAGCGUGUAGGCGGCUCGAUCAGUCCGCUGUAAAAGUCCAGGGCUCAACCCUGGGAUGCCGGUGGAAACUGUCGGGCUAGAGUCCGGGAGAGGCGAGUGGAAUUCCUGGUGUAGCGGUGAAAUGCGCAGAUAUCAGGAGGAACACCAAUGGCGAAGGCAGCUCGCUGGAACGGUACUGACGCUGAGACGCGAAAGCGUGGGGAGCAAACAGG